UUAACUGAAUCCAUAGGUUAAUGAGGCGAACCGGGGGAACUGAAACAUCUAAGUACCCCGAGGAAAAGAAAUCAACCGAGAUUCCCCCAGUAGCGGCGAGCGAACGGGGAGCAGCCCAGAGCCUGAAUCAGUAUGUGUGUUAGUGGAAGCGUCUGGAAAGGCGCGCGAUACAGGGUGACAGCCCCGUACACAAAAAUGCACAUGCUGUGAGCUCGAUGAGUAGGGCGGGACACGUGGUAUCCUGUCUGAAUAUGGGGGGACCAUCCUCCAAGGCUAAAUACUCCUGACUGACCGAUAGUGAACCAGUACCGUGAGGGAAAGGCGAAAAGAACCCCGGCGAGGGGAGUGAAAAAGAACCUGAAACCGUGUACGUACAAGCAGUGGGAGCACGCUUAGGCGUGUGACUGCGUACCUUUUGUAUAAUGGGUCAGCGACUUAUAUUCUGUAGCAAGGUUAACCGAAUAGGGGAGCCGAAGGGAAACCGAGUCUUAACUGGGCGUUAAGUUGCAGGGUAUAGACCCGAAACCCGGUGAUCUAGCCAUGGGCAGGUUGAAGGUUGGGUAACACUAACUGGAGGACCGAACCGACUAAUGUUGAAAAAUUAGCGGAUGACUUGUGGCUGGGGGUGAAAGGCCAAUCAAACCGGGAGAUAGCUGGUUCUCCCCGAAAGCUAUUUAGGUAGCGCCUCGUGAAUUCAUCUCCGGGGGUAGAGCACUGUUUCGGCAAGGGGGUCAUCCCGACUUACCAACCCGAUGCAAACUGCGAAUACCGGAGAAUGUUAUCACGGGAGACACACGGCGGGUGCUAACGUCCGUCGUGAAGAGGGAAACAACCCAGACCGCCAGCUAAGGUCCCAAAGUCAUGGUUAAGUGGGAAACGAUGUGGGAAGGCCCAGACAGCCAGGAUGUUGGCUUAGAAGCAGCCAUCAUUUAAAGAAAGCGUAAUAGCUCACUGGUCGAGUCGGCCUGCGCGGAAGAUGUAACGGGGCUAAACCAUGCAC
rnacentral:rRNA from 1 species